rnacentral:rRNA from 1 species
UAGGGAAUAUUCUGCAAUGGACGCAAGUCUGACGGAGCAACGCCGCGUGAGUGAAGAAGGAUUUCGGUUCGUAAAACUCUGUUGUUAGAGAAGAACAGCGCAUAGAGUAACUGUUAUGCGUGUGACGGCAUAUAACCAGAAAGCCACGGCUAACUACGUGCCAGCAGCCGCGGUAAUACGUAGGUGGCAAGCGUUGUCCGGAUUUAUUGGGCGUAAAGCGAGCGCAGGCGGUUAAUUAAGUCUGAUGUGAAAGCCCCCGGCUCAACCGGGGAGGGUUAUUGGAAACUGGUUUACUUGAGUGCAGAAGAGAAGGGUGGAAUUCCAUGUGUAGCGGUGAAAUUCGUAGAUAUAUGGAGGAACACCAGUGGCGAAGGCGACUCUCUGGUCUGUAACUGACGCUGAGGCUCGAAAGCGUGGGUAGCAAACAGG